rnacentral:lncRNA from 1 species
CUUUGAUAGAAAAUACUUGAAAAUUUCAUUUUGGACUACAGGAACAUAAACUUUCAAUAUCAAGAUCAGUUUUGUUGAUUUUUUUCUUGUUUGUUCUACUGCUUUAAAGACUUUCCACAAUUUUAUAAUGAGUUAAGUAAAAAAUCCAAGGUAUUGAAGAGUCAAGGAAUAUUGACCCCCCUUUUUUACACCUGGUGUAAGUAAUGGGACUAUUAAAUGAUCAAAAGUGCAGUUAGGUCCUUUAACUGUUUUUAUUUACUAUCAGUUGAUACAAUUUAAGGUAUAAAACUUCCAUUUGAGAUAAUAAAUGUGAUUUUUGUUAGUUUUUGUAAUAUUUACAUCAGGCUAUGUUAUCAUACCUGCCAAGUUUUCAAAAUGCCCAUUGGGGUUUUGCAUGCAAGAUGGCUGCCAUAUUCCUAAAAAAAACCUUCAAGGGGGCCUUCAAGUACAGUGUAAUGUUGUUUGUUAGCUUCUUCAUACUUUUAUAAGCCCCAAUUCAUUGUAAAAUUAAUUGUUUUGUUAAAAUUGUGGACAUAAUUGCUCUUUAAAAAUUUCAAUUUCAAUUUGGUAGCCUCCAUGGGGGAAAUCCCCCGCAAAUAGUGACAGUUGGCAGGUAUGUGUUAUCUGCCAAAUACAUGCUAUGACGCAAUGAUAUAAGGGAUAAAAAUCAAAUAAUUUCAUUAAAUCUUCAUGACAACAACUUUUUUUGGUAGUAAAAAAACUAUGUUUUAAUGUUUAAUACCACAGAACAAACUUACUGUGCAUUUAUAACAAUUUGAGACAUUUUUUUAAAUGUAAAGCAUAUUGUCAGGGUGGAAAGCUAAAAAAAGCACAAAUUUCAGGUUAAAGCUCUAAAUUUGCAAUAUGUGACUUUUUGCCUCCAAAAAGAUUGAAAUGUGACUACUAUCACUUCAUAUGAUCAGUUGAGUAAUAAAAAUCAAUUGUUUUCUGAAUUUGGGGUUUCACCGCAUUUCCCUUAAAGGUGUCAGACCACCAAUUAAAAACCC